rnacentral:lncRNA from 1 species
CGUCAUCUGAGCGCGACGCGUGUGGGGCGGAAAUGCUCCGCGCCGAAUACAUACAUAUAUGUGUGUAUAUAUAUAUAUAUAUAUAUAUAUAUACGUAUAUAUAUGUAUAUAUACACUUAAUAAAAGUUGCUCUGAGCAGCUCAUUUGAUCCAGGGCAGUGGGGCAUCCAGUAUGACCAAAGUAAGGUCUGCACCAGUGUAUGCCCAUUGGCAACCUUAUUAGUCGCCGUGAUUACUGACAGAAUAUCGAUUAAGGAUUAUCUGAGGAGAGCUUGAGUUAAGAAACAGCAGCCUGUAGGGACAGUGUGUAAGAGGAGUUCCAGAAUGAAAGGAAAAGGCUGUUUUCAUUAGCAGGCUGUGGAGAAAUGUAUUAAGAAGCAAGGCUCUAGUGAUAAGUAGGAAAGCACAGAUGGAAGGAGGAAGAUAAAAUGUGUAAGGUAAGUUUGACUUUAAGGGUUGCUAAGGCUAACGAACGCUAUCAUUUAAAGAAAGGAACAAGCUUUGAAGGAUGGGAUUAAAGAAAUCCACGUUGCAUUUUAAGAUAGAUGACUCUCAGUACUGCAUUUUGAAUAGUCUGAAAUCUUGGAUGGCCCUCAAACCAGGCACUGAAGCAAUUAAGAAAGGGGAAUGACAGGGGAAAUCAACUAUUUCUUUGACUAGCCGGCCACUGAGGUAACGUUUGUUUGUAAGGAGGACAUACUAUACAGAGCUGCUGCACGUUUUUACUUAUUGUUGAAUUUUUUAAAUUAAAAUGACUACUAAGUCACUUGAGAUUCAGAGAUGCAGAGGAAAGAAACUUUGGUGUUCGCUAUUUCUGUCACAGGUCAAAAAGACAUUGCUGUCAUCUGCUCAUGGUGCACAGAUGAUGUUGCACAGAGGAGCCAGGGAAACUGAAGAGGGGUAUCUGUGAGAGAGAGGAAUGCAAGAACAAACACUCAGCAUGUCUAAGAGAUAGAGCAAGCCAGUACUGGCAGGCUGACAACCUGGACAAGGCAAC